rnacentral:rRNA from 1 species
AUUGAACGCUGGCGGCAGGCCUAACACAUGCAAGUCGAACGAGUGGCGGACGGGCGAGUAAUGCAGUGGAACCUAGCUAACGGAGGGGGCUAACUACGGGAAACCGUAGCUACAACCGCUUACCAUCCGAUGGGCCCACGUGGGAUUAGGUAGUUGGUGAGGUAACGGCUCACCAAGGCGACGAUCCCUAGCUGGUCUGAGAGGAUGACCGGCCACACUGGGACUGAGACACGGCCCAGACUCCUACGGGAGGCAGCAGUGGGGAAUAUUGCGCAAUGGGAGCAAGCCUGACGGAGCCAUGCCGCGUGAGUGAAGAAGGCCUUCGGGUUGUAAAGUUCUUUCGGUAGAGAGGCGUUACCUACCGAAGAAGCACCGGCUAACUCCGUGCCAGCAGCCGCGGUAAUUC